GUUCACCUUGGCAGCACAUAUACUAAAAUUGGAACAAUAAAGAGAAGACUAGCAUGGACCCUUGAGCAAAGAUGACACACAAAUUCAUGAAGCGGUCCAUAUUAAA